rnacentral:rRNA from 1 species
UACGGAGGGUGCAAACGUUGCUCGGAAUCAUUGGGCGUAAAGCGCAUGUAGGCGGUCGGCUAUGUCGGAUGUGAAAGCCUCGGGCUUAACCCGAGAAGUGCAUCCGAAACUGGCCGGCUUGAGUACGGAAGAGGGUCUCGGAAUUCCCGGUGUAGAGGUGAAAUUCGUAGAUAUCGGGAGGAACACCAGUGGCGAAGGCGGAGACCUGGGCCGAUACUGACGCUGAGAUGCGAAAGCGUGGGGAGCAAACAGG